rnacentral:lncRNA from 1 species
CGGGGCGGUAGGUGGCGCUGUGUGUGGUUUCCACAUCCGCCAUUAAAGCAGAGAAACUUCCGCUCCAAACUUUUGCCGCGUGCUGUGAGAAAAACAACAUGGAGGCUGAUAAUAGCAACGAGACAACAACGAACGGGAACCGGUCCAAAGCCGAGAUACUGAGAGGACUCCUCGCGGAGAAACUGAGCGCGGCCGGGCAGGACAUCUGCGCCGCGGUGGAGACGACCUGCGCCGGCUACGAAGAGGAGGCGUCGGCCCUGAAGGAGGAGAACGAGCGGCAGAGGAAGAGGCUGACGGCUCUCCUGCAGCCAGAGAUCAAGCUGGAGACAGUAGCUCAGCUACAUGGUGUCACGGACGAUCGCUGAAAACUACUCGGCGAAAGUCUGGAGUUGACGUAGAUAUGCGUGGUCAAAGCCCCGGCUGCUAACGUUUUCAUUUCCUGUAAGUUCUUCACAAUAAAAGUCCUCCGUUAUUUUGGUAUUUGAAUGUUUUUAUUAUGAAGCAGGAAAAUCCGGAAAUGUUAGGCAUUUAUUAGCAGUAACGUAACGGGACUCCUAUAAGCAUUGUGCAUUGUUACUUAGCAACAGCAUUGUUUGACAAAAGCUGUC